AUUGAACGCUGGCGGCAGGCUUAACACAUGCAAGUCGAACGGAACCUUCGGGUUUAGUGGCGAACGGGUGAGUAAUACCUAGGAAUCUGCCCUAUUAGUGGGGGAGUAACGGCUCGAAAGGGUCGGCUAAUACCGCAUACGUCCUACGGGAGAAAGAGGGGGAGUCUUCGGACCUCUUGCUAAUAGAUGAGCCUAGGCCGGAUUAGCUAGUUGGUAGGGUAAAGGCCUACCAAGGCGACGAUCCGUAGCUGGUCUGAGAGGAUGAUCAGCCACACUGGAACUGAGACACGGUCCAGACUCCUACGGGAGGCAGCAGUGGGGAAUAUUGGACAAUGGGGGCAACCCUGAUCCAGCCAUGCCGCGUGUGUGAAGAAGGCC
rnacentral:rRNA from 1 species